UGUAAUUUACUUUCCUUAGCUUGUGGUUGAGACUUGGGAUUUUCAACCCAGUCCAAAGUCCGUGAUUAUAAUACCAUGAUUGAUGAUUAAAUUGCAUCAAACUACACUCAAAUCUAUUUUCCAGACUUUUAAUGAGAAUAUACAUCUUUUAUGUUGACUUCUAUCCACAAAAAUAGUCUAUUACAACUUUAUAAUCACCUUAGCUGUUUAACCUGUAAUGCAUGUGUUUAUGCCGCAAUCAGACUAUAGGUAUCCCUUAAAGUUUCUUGGUUUUUAAGAUUUUUUUGAAGUGUUUUUUGGUUGUAUAACUAUUGAUUCAUGAUGUAAGGUGCUUAGUAAUAAUGUAUGCCUUUACAAUAUAUAAAUUCGACCCGAUAGGCAGGCUUUGUACUGGAGUGCUACAUGGCCGCAAGAGGAAGAAAUAUGGGCAAGGUUGUUAUUGGAUUGCAAGAUCUGGAGGCUAAUCAAUCUAUUCACCAAGUUAUUGAAAUCAUGACUGAUUUGUAGAAGUUAAUUACACUACUUAAAGAAAUACUGGAUGGGAGAAAAUGCUUAUAUUUGUAGAAACGAAAAAAGGAUACGACCAGGUCACAAGACAAUUGAGGAUGGAUGGAUGGUUGGCCAACUUUGGUCAUCCAUGGUGACAGAGACUAGUCAAAGGGAUUUGGUUCUACUGUCACUGAUGUUGCUGCACAUGAUCUUGGUGGGAUAAUUGAGUGCUAGGAGUCUUGAUUGGUUCCUUAUAGGUUUUAGUUGUCGUUUAGAAAAUUUAGGCUUGUUAGCCGGCUGUUAUCCAGUUCCUGUCAAAUAUAUAUGUGGUUUGGGUGGGACGCUCCUCUCAAAGGCAGGCGAUGUCACGGGUUCAUGUCGAUAGAAAAAAGUGUCCUAAACAAGAAUCCCAUUUAGCACCAAUACUAGCACGUAUGAGUAACUUUUUUCCUUGCUCGUGAGUCAUGAUCGAUUAUGUCACAUGUAAACUACAUGGUAGCCUAAAAUGUUUUGUAAAAACUUUGGGUUUUCACUAUCGGUUUAAUCCAUAUUAUUGA